rnacentral:rRNA from 1 species
AGCAGCCGCGGUAAUUCCAGCUCCAAUAGCGUAUAUUAAAGUUGUUGCAGUUAAAAAGCUCGUAGUUGAACUUCGGGGUUCACCCAUUGGUCAGGCUUAAUUGUCUGUACUGGUGAGAUGAGUCUCUACCUUCUGAGGAACUUUCAUGCCAUUUGUUUGGUGUGAUGGGAAAUCAGGACUGUUACUUUGAAAAAUUAGAGUGUUUAAAGCAGGCUAACGUCUGAAUACAUUAGCAUGGAAUAAUGAAAUAGGACGGAUUGAUUCUAUUUCGUUGGUUUCUAGGGUCACCGUAAUGAUUAAUAGGGAUAGUUGGGGGCAUUAGUAUUCAAUUGUCAGAGGUGAAAUUCUUGGAUUUAUUGAAGACUAACUACUGCGAAAGCAUUUGCCAAGGAUGUUUUCAUUAAUCAAGAACGAAAGUUAGGGGAUCGAAGACGAUCAGAUACCGUCGUAGUCUUAACCAUAAACUAUGCCGACUAGGGAUCGGACGAAGUUAAUUUUAUAAUGACGCGUUCGGCACCUU